rnacentral:lncRNA from 1 species
CAACAUUUCAAUUAGGCAGCUCUUCUGAAAUUAGAGGUUAUGAAAGUACACAUUUCUAGGUGUGGAAAACACCAUCUGUCAAGGAGUCCCGAGCCGUUUGGCGUUCUGAGGCAGGGACAUUGCGGGGCUCAGGCCUUGCAGGCUUUAGCUGAGACGUAUCCAGUGACCAUCACCACACCGGGUGAGCGAGUGGCUUCCUGCAAGGCCAUAAUAUCAGAGUCUGUGGCCAGGGCAGUGAUUAAUGACCUUAUUUGCAGAAAGAAACCCUCAGGGAGAAGCCAAGUGCCAAGGAGAGAGGCUGGCGAGGCCCUCCCCAACAGACUGAGAAGGGCAAGAGGGAUGUGGACAGCCACCAAGAAAGCAGGCUACUAAAAUCUGUGUGCACCUUGAUUCAACCCCUGUAUCUUUACUGAAGGGGAGUUACUGAAGCAUUUGACAAAGGACACGUGGUGGAAGCAGUGCCAGAAGCCUGAACGCAGGUUUUCGGACUCCUACCCCAGACAGCCUGUUUACUCUGCCUCUCCAGGAAAUCAGUGUGUUUAGAGGAACUGGCAUCAAGAUGGACUAGAAGCAGCUUAGUUGGGAGAACAGGUCUCAGUUUACACACCCCCAAAGGCAGGAAGGGAGGACCCCAUAUCCAUUUCUAGUAUUUCCUCCUGUUGACUGAAAGGAUCCUGGAGUUUGAAUCUAGGAUCAACAGGGAUGGCAUUACAUGUCCUCAGGCAGCCGAAGGUCACAGUUGUUCAAAGCCAAUCACUGAGGCCCCUGACAAUGUCAGAAGGCUGAGCGAAUCUCAUAGGGGGAAAAAAAUCUUACAAGCAAACAAAUGCUUAACAAAAGCUCCUCUAUGGAGCUGAACUAGUUCAGGACUUAAAAGCUGUUCAGGGAGACCGGACAGGUGAUGGGAAAUGGGACACCGCUGGGGGUGGGGGCCGAGGACAGAAAAGGGAAGCAAGCCUGUAAACAGAAAGCUUCUCUGGACGAAUGCCCAGAGAAUCAGGGUCCUUCGCAGUUGGGAUCUAAUCCACUUCUGUCUCCAGACAGAAUUUCUUUGGUGACUGGUUUCCCCCUUUUCACUAGUCUCUGACCCUCAGGGCCAAGAAUGAACCAGGGACUACAUGCAGAGCGCUGUGCCCAGACUGAUCAAUGUAGCUUAGGUCAGGCACACCACACCUUCACUAGCUCCUGUCUUGCCUUCUCUCUCUUUUAAAACACAACAGACUUCUGCUUCCAACUGCAUCUCCUCUGGUGAACUCAUAGGAAUCCCACCCCCUCCCAAGACCCAACCCUUUCCCCAUAAGCUUUCCCCUUGUUCCCCACUUAAAUCCUGACCUCAAAUUCCACAAGUGCAAUGCUUUUGCUGGUCAUAAGCCAAAUGUCAUUACGGAAACGUCAAACCUGUCAGAUGAGCAAGAAUUUUAUUGAUCCCUUCCAAAAAAAAGCAUAUGCUUGUUCUAAUGAUACCUGUUGACUGGCCCAAUUUCAUAAAGGGAGCUGAAAGCAAUGAGGAGCAAAUCCAAAAU